GAUGAAGAACGCAGCGAAAUGCGAUAAGUAAUGUGAAUUGCAGAAUUCAGUGAAUCAUCGAAUCUUUGAACGCACAUUGCGCCCGCCAGUAUUCUGGCGGGCAUGCCUGUUCGAGCGUCAUUUCAACCAUCAAGCUCUGCUUGCGUUGGGGAUCCGCGGCUGCCCGCGGUCCCUCAAAACCAGUGGCGGGCUCGCUAGUCACACCGAGCGUAGUAACUUUACAUCGCUAUGGUCGUGCGGCGGGUGCUUGCCGUAAAACCCCCCAAUUUUUAAGGUUGACCUCGAAUCAGGUAGGAAUACCCGCUGAACUUAAGCAUAUCAAUAAGCGGAGGA
rnacentral:misc_RNA from 1 species